UACGUAGGGCGCAAGCGUUGUCCGGAAUUAUUGGGCGUAAAGAGCUCGUAGGUGGCUUGUCACGUCGGGUGUGAAAGCUUGGGGCUUAACUCCAGGUCUGCAUUCGAUACGGGCUGGCUAGAGGUAGGUAGGGGAGAACGGAAUUCCUGGUGUAGCGGUGAAAUGCGCAGAUACCAGGAGGAACACCGGUGGCGAAGGCGGUUCUCUGGGCCUUACCUGACGCUGAGGAGCGAAAGCGUGGGGAGCGAACAGG
rnacentral:rRNA from 1 species